GCUGGGUGUGGUGGUGCAUGCUUGUAAUCUCAGUGGCUCUGGAGGCUGAGGCAGGAGGAUCACCAGCUCAAGGCCAGGAUCAGCAACUUAGUGAUAGUGAGGCACUGUCUCUU
rnacentral:sRNA from 1 species